UACGUAGGGGGCAAGCGUUGUCCGGAAUCAUUGGGCGUAAAGCGCGCGUAGGCGGCCCGGUAAGUCCGCUGUAAAAGUCCAGGGCUCAACCCUGGAAAGCCGGUGGAAACUGUCGGGCUAGAGUCCGGAAGAGGCGAGUGGAACUCCUGGUGUAGCGGUGGAAUGCGCAGAUAUCAGGAAGAACACCAACGGCGAAGGCAGCUCGCUGGGACGGAACUGACGCUAAGGCGCGAAAGCGUGGGGAGCGAACAGG
rnacentral:rRNA from 1 species